ACAUGGGGGAUGAUAUGGAUGUAGAGCAGAGGAGGGAUGGCAGUUUGGGAGUUAGUAUGUCAGAAGAGGGAAUGGGAGAGUCCCAAGGAGGCACUCAGGCCUCGGGAUUUGUUCAGCCACCCCACUACCCACACUUCUCACAACACCCCGGGUAUUCGAUGGGAGGCACAUCGGAUUACCAUAGCUUCAGCCCUUAUCCCACACAGAUGCCAUACCCACCCUACUACCCACCAUACUCACAGUACCCAAUGUAUC
rnacentral:lncRNA from 1 species